rnacentral:misc_RNA from 1 species
UCCUUGUUUCCAAGGCAGUCCCAUUAGAGUGCUUCCGAAGAAUAGCAACUAAUGGCAAGGGUUGCGCUCGUUAAAGGACUUAACCUUACAUCUCACGACACGAGCUGACGACAGCCAUGCAGCACCUGUGUAUCUGUCCAUGUAAACAUGGAAAGAACUAUUUCUAGUCCGGUCAAAUACAUGUCAAACCUAGGUAAGGUUCCUCGCGUAUUGUCGAAUUAAACCACAUGUUCCACCGCUUGUGCGGACCCCCGUCAAUUUCUUUGAGUUUUAGUCUUGCGACCGUAAUCCCCAGGCGGAUCACUUAACGCGUUAGCUACGGCACCGAUCUCACGAAUGAAACCGACACCUAGUGAUCAUCGUUUACGGCGUGGACUAC